UGUCGUCGCAUCCACACAAACGCAUCCGCACGUCCGCAGAUCACCGCAGCCACCAUUGUCGCAACCACACCACCGCAGCCUCCACCGCCACCGCCACCGCCACCGCCUCCGCCUUCCACCGUCGCAGCCACCACCGCCGUCGCAAGUAGAUCUGCCCGCACCAGCCACCACCGCCAUUGCAGCACGCCUUCGUCCACCCCCGCCUCCGCCUCAGCCACGGUCCAAACCCCUCUGUCCCUUUCGCCGAGUAUGCUUUUCAUUUCCACAAUCCACCUGGCUUAAGCUAUUGUAGAUUCGGUGAAAACCGUGGGUUUCUUAGUGUAAGACACCCUUCUCCUGGUCUCUCUCCAAUAAUUUGAAUUUCCAUAGCAAAAACCCUCUGUAAAACUCGGCCUUUUAGUUGCAUUGUGGACUUUCUUCUCCAGAUCUUUUCAGGAUUUUAUUGAGGCAACUAAGGAACCAGGCAUCACAUUCGUGACAACUAUGUUUGAUGGUAUUGUUGUGCAAUAAAAUUUGGAUGUAAAUAUAAAGUACUGUUUUUGAUGAUAUUAUUGUGUUAAUAUAAAGUUUGAUAAUACUUUAAUUUUGUGAUGAUAUAAAAUUUGAUGUCAGUUUGAUA